GACGAACGCUGGCGGCGUGCUUAACACAUGCAAGUCGAACGGAAAGGCUCCAGCUUGCUGGAGCACUCGAGUGGCGAACGGGUGAGUAACACGUGGGUAAUCUGCCUUGCACUCUGGGAUAAGCCUGGGAAACUGGGUCUAAUACUGGAUAUGACCUUUCCCCUUAUGGGGUUUGGUGGAAAGUUUUCCGGUGUAGGUUGAGCCCGCGGCCUUUCAGCUUGUUGGUGGGGUGAUGGCCUACCAAGGCGACGACGGGUAGCCGGCCUGAGAGGGUGAUCGGCCACAUUGGGACUGAGAUACGGCCCAGACUCCUACGGGAGGCAGCAGUGGGGAAUAUUGCACAAUGGGCGGAAGCCUGAUGCAGCGACGCCGCGUGAGGGAUGACGGCCUUCGGGUUGUAAACCUCUUUCAGCAGGGACGAAGCGUAAGUGACGGUACCUGCAGAAGAAGCACCGGCUAACUAUGUG
rnacentral:rRNA from 1 species